rnacentral:rRNA from 1 species
AGAGUUUGAUCCUGGCUCAGAUUGAACGCUGGCGGCAUGCUUUACACAUGCAAGUCGAACGGCAGCGCGGGGCAACCUGGCGGCGAGUGGCGAACGGGUGAGUAAUAUAUCGGAACGUACCCAAGAGUGGGGGAUAACGUAGCGAAAGUUACGCUAAUACCGCAUACGAUCUAAGGAUGAAAGCAGGGGACCGCAAGGCCUUGUGCUCCUGGAGCGGCCGAUAUCUGAUUAGCUAGUUGGUAGGGUAAAGGCCUACCAAGGCGACGAUCAGUAGCUGGUCUGAGAGGACGACCAGCCACACUGGAACUGAGACACGGUCCAGACUCCUACGGGAGGCAGCAGUGGGGAAUUUUGGACAAUGGGCGCAAGCCUGAUCCAGCAAUGCCGCGUGAGUGAAGAAGGCCUUCGGGUUGUAAAGCUCUUUUGUCAGGGAAGAAACGGUGCGGGCUAAUAUCCCGCGCUAAUGACGGUACCUGAAGAAUAAGCACCGGCUAACUACGUGCCAGCAGCCGCGGUAAUACGUAGGGUGCAAGCGUUAAUCGGAAUUACUGGGCGUAAAGCGUGCGCAGGCGGUUUUGUAAGUCUGAUGUGAAAUCCCCGGGCUCAACCUGGGAAUUGCAUUGGAGACUGCAAGGCUAGAAUCUGGCAGAGGGGGGUAGAAUUCCACGUGUAGCAGUGAAAUGCGUAGAGAUGUGGAGGAACACCGAUGGCGAAGGCAGCCCCCUGGGUCAAGAUUGACGCUCAUGCACGAAAGCGUGGGGAGCAAACAGGAUUAGAUACCCUGGUAGUCC